rnacentral:rRNA from 1 species
UACGGGGGGGGCAAGCGUUGUUCGGAAUUACUGGGCGUAAAGGGCUCGUAGGCGGCCAACUAAGUCAUACGUGAAAUCCCUCGGCUUAACCGGGGAACUGCGUCUGAUACUGGAUGGCUUGAGAUUGGGAGAGGGAUGCGGAAUUCCUGGUGUAGCGGUGAAAUGCGUAGAGAUCAGGAAGAACACCGGUGGCGAAAGCGCUCUGCUAGGCCGCAACUGACACUGAGGGACGAAAGCGUGGGGAGCAAACAGG